UACAGAGGGGGCAAGCGUUGUUCGGAAUUACUGGGCGUAAAGGGCGCGUAGGCGGCCUGUUAAGUCGAACGUGAAAUCCCCGGGCUCAACCCGGGAACUGCGUCCGAUACUGGCAGGCUUGAAUCCGGGAGAGGGAUGUGGAAUUCCAGGUGUAGCGGUGAAAUGCGUAGAUAUCGGGAAGAACACCAGUGGCGAAAGCGCUCUACUGGGCCAUAACUGACACUGAGGGACGAAAGCUAGGGGAGCGAAAGGG
rnacentral:rRNA from 1 species